rnacentral:misc_RNA from 1 species
CUUUUAAUCCCAAGAUAGAAUCUGUUUAUUCUCGUGCAGUCUCUCGGAUGUUGUUAAUGUAGCUAGACGCGUCAAACUUUUGUUUCCAGGAUUCCAGCCGGGAAACAAGGGCGGAGAUCAUGCUUGACGAACCGUUGGCUGGAUACAAAAAGAGAGCCAGGACCCGCCUGCAGGAGCUGAUGCUGAAGGAGAGCUAUCCCCCAGGACAUCCGAUGGUGGUCGGCACCGGAUUCCACCUCGACAUGGGUACAGCAGCGGCAGCAUCUGCAGUCUACUCCGCCCCGAGUGUCGCACAUUUCUACAAAGGCUGUGAUCUAUUUUACCAAGUGUGGUGUCCACCGGCGGCACCCCUCUCGCCCGGGGACGGAACCCAGGAUCCGCCGACGAAACCAUUUUUUUAAUCGGGGUUAAUCCAUUCUCCCUUCGUGCCAUACAUCUCAGGAUAUCUUAACCAAAUCGUUAUUAUUGUUUUUUUUUAAUAUUAAAGAAAUUAUUUUUUAACAUAUCUUUUGUAUUGAUUAUUGGUGGAUGGGUUGCGUUUUAUCUGGGCAGUAUUUUUGUGCAAUUGUUAAUUAACUACAGAUGACUUUCCUAUUUUAUAUUUAGCCUUUACGAGAGAAAAAUUAUAAGAAAGUAUUAUUUUUAAAUUGCCAAAGUUUAAACAAAUAAGUAGAAAUAACAAGUGUUAGAUUAUAUAUUGACCAAUUAUUUUGUCUAUUUAACAUUUAUAAAUAUAUAGAUAGAGUGUAUUAUAUGGAAGCAGGAAAUGUCAUAUUUAAUAUGUAUAUCACUUAAUGUGUGCAAUCAGAUAAAACUCUGUUAUUGAUUAUUGUAAUACAUGUAUACCUAGUCCAAAGUA